rnacentral:piRNA from 1 species
UAUAUCUGGGUUGAUGGUACUGG